UACUUGUAUUUGAAUCACAAGUGUCUUCUUGUGUCACAUGUGUAAUCACAUAUGUAGACUUGUAUUUGCAUUACUGGAAGACUUGUAUUUGCAUUCAUAAUGAUUAAGGUUCGGAUACAUACAUUUAUUUGUGUCUUCUUGUGUCACAAGUGUACUCAUAUAAUGCAAUCACAACUUACGAUAUACAGUUAUACAAAGGCGUUGUGAAUGAUUCGAAUUUCAAACAAAUCAGAGUACUGAUCAGUAGUCACAUCUCUUCUUGUAACUCCCAUAUCUUCUUGUGUCUACUCCCAUGUCUUCUUGUCUCACAUGUAUUCUUCCACCUGCAAAAACAAUGAUCAGACACAAAGACAACAAACCAAGACGACAACAAAGACUUCAAACUAGCGAUGAGAAGAACAAAGCCAAGAAACGGUUCAAAGUUUUCUUCCUCUCAGGCCCUUCUCUGAUUUGUUCUUCUCUCCAAGAACGGUUCAAAGUCUUCUCCUUUCGAGUUCAACAAGAGAAGAGCUUAUGGUUUUGACGAAACUGGUAAGAACAAGAAGAAUCUCAAAAUAAAAACACACAAACUCAAUCCCAACACUACUGCUUACGCACAGGUCCUUGGAACGGGAAUGGACACAAAAGACUUCGUUUUCUCUAUUACUCUUCUUUGAUAAACAAAGAUUCAUCUUUAAUGCUGAGAGGGCUUGCACCGUUGCAACGUUUUUGUAACGUUUUUGUACAAAACAUAAGAUUAAACUAUCAAAGAUAAAUAUUGUCUCCUGUCUGCUCAGAGACUACAGGUGGACUUCCAGAUUUGUUCUUGCUUUUGACUCAUGGCUUGGGUGUUAGUUCAGGACAAUGUGUUGGCACUUAUGGAAGAGAUGAUGUUGGUUCUGUUUCUUGUGGAUGGCUUCAUGACGGUUCAGUUAUCAUUGGCGCAAUGGCAGAUAGAAGGAUCUACCUGUGGAGUUUAUAUGGGACUGAGAUAGAACACGAGCUAGAACAAAAACAGAGAGAACAGAAUAACAACAAGAUCCAACAAUUUUAGAUCGAAAGCAUGAACAGCUUGUGCCAUAGACUGCAAAUACUGUUUAUCAGUGAACUUUCCAGACGAUGGUCGCCACCGGGACCUCCACCUACUCCGGAUCAGGAUCACAGAGAAGAUGAAGUGAUCGAAAUUGGAGGAAGAAAAAAAAAAUUGAUUUCAGGAAGGAAAAAGGAGAAAGAGAGAGAGACAACAAGGAGGAUCAAUACGUAAUUGGCACGUAAGGGUUCUUUACCAACUCUAAAACCUCCACGAUAAGAGUUGGUUCUGUUUUUUUAUAUCUUUCGUAGAGACCCCAAUGGAGGUGGUCUUGCUAUCUCAAUAAAUUGUUUAUUUGUGCAAGGACGUGAAAUAAUGAAAAGCUGACGCCUUUCUUUUAAACAGUAUAACAAUAAUCAAAUGGGAAAACACAUGAUCAAAUUAACUGUUUAAUAAUUUGGUUAAUCA